rnacentral:rRNA from 1 species
UACGAAGGGGGCUAGCGUUGUUCGGAAUUACUGGGCGUAAAGCGUGCGCAGGCGGCCUUCCAAGUCAGGGGUGAAAGCCCAGAGCUCAUCUCUGGAAUUGCCUUUGAGACUGUGAGGCUUGAGUACGGGAGAGGUGAGUGGAAUUCCCAGUGUAGAGGUGAAAUUCGUAGAUAUUGGGAAGAACACCGGUGGCGAAGGCGGCUCACUGGCCCGAAACUGACGCUCAUGCACGACAGCGUGGGGAUCAAACAGG